rnacentral:rRNA from 1 species
GAGGAAUAUUGGUCAAUGGGCGAGAGCCUGAACCAGCCAAGUCGCGUGAAGGAUGACUGUCUUAUGGAUUGUAAACUUCUUUUGUAGGGGAAUAAAGAACAGCACGUGUGCUGUAGUGAAUGUACCCUACGAAUAAGCAUCGGCUAACUCCGUGCCAGCAGCCGCGGUAAUACGGAGGAUGCGAGCGUUAUCCGGAUUUAUUGGGUUUAAAGGGUGCGUAGGCGGCCUGUUAAGUCAGCGGUGAAAUCUAGGAGCUUAACUCCUAAAUUGCCAUUGAUACUGGCGGGCUUGAGUGUAGAUGAGGUAGGCGGAAUGCGUGGUGUAGCGGUGGAAUGCAUAGAUAUCACGCAGAACUCCGAUUGCGAAGGCAGCUUACUAAGGUACAACUGACGCUGAAGCACGAAAGCGUGGGUAUCAAACAGGAUUAGAUACCCUGGUAGUCCACGCAGUAAACGAUGAUAACUGGGCGUAUGCGAUAUACAGUAUGCUCCUAAGCGAAAGCGUUAAGUUAUCCACCUGGGGAGUACGCCGGCAACGGUG